UAGAGGAUGCACACGUUAUCAACUUUUUCAGAAUGCACAAGGAAGAAAUACUGCAGCAUACACUAAUAUUAAUUAUCAGCAUAAAAAAAUUCACAUGAUUAAUUAGAGUAUUAGUAACAUAGGUAGUAGUACUUUGGUGAUAUUCAGAAAAUAUGCUUCCUUAGGCAUCAAAUGAUCAUUUGCUGAUUUGAAAAGCUGCAACCCAACCCUGUUCAUUCAAUUAAAGCAUGGUGAUUAUUAGUGACUGUAGCAUAAGAAAGUAACACCACCAACAUGAUAAUAUGAUAUCUCCAUAUAUAUAAUAUACUAUUCCUUAUCAUUUUGAGAGAUUGUGUGUAGCUAGAAAGACUUAUGGUACUCUUAAUUUUCCUAGCUAUAAAGAUGGCCACAACGAGUCUUGUACUCCUAUUUGAUGUUUCAUCCACAAAUUUAUCUAGAACAAAUUUUUAUUGUAAAUAUUUUAUAAGGAUCAGAUAAUUAGAGAAUGCUACUAGAAUAAGAAAUCUGGUCUUUUACAUGUUUUUGCUGACUCUCUUUUAUAAUAUUCUUUUGUUUAGCCAAAAGAUUAAGAAGAGCUAAUAUCCUUUCAUCAAUAUUCUCAAGAAUUUUAGAUCAAAACUAUGGACUAUCUUUUUGUUUUUGUUUUGCCAUGUCAAAUGACUAUUUGUUUCACUUUUUGUUUAUUAUCUCAUAAAAUCACUAUCUAUCUAAACUGUACGGAUAUUAUCAUUACUAAUUAAAUUAUAUUACAACAUAAUAUUAUACAGUUUAAAACAUUUAAAACAAAAUUAAAAUAACAAAUAAUAUCAUUCAUAACUUGCUAUGUUGAUUUUAUAAUCCCCUAAAUAACUACUUUUUUAAUUUAAACGGUUUUUAUAUUAUCGUUACUUAAUUAUUAUCUCCUAAAAUCACUACGUGUGUGCAUAUUCUCCAUCUUAAGAGUAAUUGGAGGGAGUGACAUUAAUAGCGAUAGUUAUUCCUAUAUUAUUGAAUUAGAAGACAUAUUUGUCCUCACAAAAUUGCGACACAACUUAAAAAUAAAACUAAUGCCAAACCCCCUGUUGCAGCUUAACUAAUAGUCUGUAUUAUAGAUUCCAAUUAACCUUCCUAUAUAAGACAGCCACACAGGUGUUCACAUGCUGCAAGCUCUCUAUUACUGUGAUUUGAUUUAUGAGGUUGUGCUUCUUAAAACAGUGCUUCACCUCUUCAGCGACUUCAAUAUUUUUUCUCUUAACCGGAUUUUUGUUCUUCAAAGGUUUCUUAAACAAACUUUAGGGGGGGAAAGGUUAUGUUCUUUAAAGAUCUCAUACAUUUACGUUUAAUAAAAAGAUCAUUACCAGCAUUCCAUUAAGCCUUGCAAUUAUUACUAUCUAGUAACAUAAACAAGACAAACUGAAAUGCUUUAUAGUUCAUCCGUUUUACAACUAAAGCAUUACCCCAACAAGUGUGUUAGACAGGUAGACAGAUCCCAUCGAUGAGUUGUUUAUGACUAAUAUUUUGAAUUAAAAGGAUGAAGAAUAAAGACUUCAGCUCAAUAGACUCGACAAACACUAUAAACUUCAUAUAUGCAUGAAUUGUAUAAGAGGUGAAUUGGAUACCAUACCUUGGGGGAGAUGCCUCACUGCAGCAACUUCUUAAGCACUCAACCACACAUUCUGGAUUGGGAUCCAUAAAGAAAGCCAUCUACAAUGUUGCACGCACAUAUAAUUGUCAGCUUCUCACAUUAACUCCCAUGACGAAUGAAAAUCAAAAUUCGAACAAACAGAAAUAAGAUAUUAUUCAGUCUACCUAGAAUACAAAUAAUGGGAUGCUACAAACUUCAUGACACUUUAUAGUUUAAAGUAUGUAUUUCUAAUUUUGAAAUAGGAAAAAAAAGGAAAGUGUUUUUAUUAUUUUGAAACGGAAGGAGUAUAUGGUUAGCUUCUGCGCUUCUUAUGUAUAUGCCUCACAAGCACAUGUAGGCCAUGUAGAGAAAAACACGAUACAUGACAGAAAAAAUAAUAAGUUAUAAAUAGGUAACAAAUAUUGAUUACAGAAAAGCAUUCCUUUCCCGUUCGUAUUGUUAGGAAAAUAUGAAAAUUAAUAAAAGAAUCAAGAACACAAAUAAAUUUGAAGUAGAAAAAUGGCUUGAAACGCGUAAAAUCGCUUUCCUAAAAGCAAUAUUUGCUCCCUCUCCUUCUUGAGAUUGCUAUAGGAUGAAUGCAAAUAGCCUUAGUGGAUAUGACAAGCUUUGAGAAGUUUUGCGUUUAGCAAAUAAUGAAAAACUUCAAAGUAGGAAUAUGAGAGAUAAGAAUUUGAUAAUUUUAGAGAGAGAAAUAAUAGUUUGAACAACAACAAAAAUCAACACUUUAACAAUAUGAAAAUUCAUAUAUUUAUUAUAGAAAAUAACUACCAAUAACUACUAAUAACUACCAACAACUUCUUUUUAAUAACUACCUUUUAAUAACUAUUUUUUAAAUAAUAAAUAUCAUUUUCUUAUUUGAAUAAUUUAUAACAAUCCCCCACUUAUUCAAAUAUGAAAAUUUCUCCAAAAAAUUAAAUUAUGUUUAUGAAUACAGUAAUAUAUCUUUCAAUUUGAAUAUUACCUUAGUGUAAAUGCCACAAAACUAAGUCAAAAUCUCAAGUAGCUUGAAAGCUUUGAACUUGUUAUUCUUUGUGACAAUGUCGAUGACAUCACACACAUAAACAGAAAGAAUUCUCAUAUUCCACACAAUCACACGCUCAGCUCUCGUAAGGCCAUGAGCUGAUCCAACAUUCAUGAUAAACUUUUAUGAGAUAAACUCCAAAUCUCAAUCGAAGCGGCACCACUUCUAAGUUCAUAUAGGUGAGGUUCUUUCAAUGUCUUUGCCAUAUUUUAGACACUUGUUCCACUAACUGAACUUCAUUUAAGAGAUUAAAUCUCAACCCUCUAACUAUGGCAACCAGUACUUUUGUCUCAAGUGGCCAUACUAGUUUAAGUACUGAGCAUUCACAUUUCAAUAACUUGUUGUUACCCUUUGAACCUAAAACUACUCAUUUCAUAGUGUUAGGUAGGGUUGUCGUUAUUGGUGAAUUAAUUUAGGAGUUUUAGCCCCAUUAAAUUUGAGGCUUUUAUCACCAUAUCUCUCGACAGAGGUUUGGUGAAUGGAUUGGCCAAAUUUCCACUAGAUCUUACAUAUGUGAGCGAAAUAAUCCCAUCCUUGAUUAAUUUCCUCACAUAAUCAUGUCGAAGACUAAUAUGUCUUGACUUUCCAUUGUUUGUCUCACUAGCUAUAUGCUCGAGCCAAAGUGGCUUGACUAUCACAAAGAAUUGAGACUGAACUUAUACUCUUAGAAGUCAACGAAAUUUCUAUAAGAAAAUCCCUCAGCCACUCAGCUUCUUUUCCAGUUUCUGCUAAAGCAACAAAUUCUGACUCCAUAGUUGAGUGUGUUAUACAAGUUUGUUUCUUGGAUUUCCAAGAAAUUGCACCUCCUCCUAAGGUAAACACCCAACCUGUAGUGGAUUUAUUUUCUCCCAAACUCGAUAUCCAACUAGCGUCGGUAUAUCCUUCUAAUAUAUCGGGAAACUUUGAGUAUUGUAGGCCUAAAUCUUUAGUUCUCUUAAGGUAUCCAAAAACUCUGUCAAUGGCCUUCCAAUGCUCAAUACUUGGGUUACUGGUAAAUCUACUGAGUUUACUAACCGCAAAUGCUAUAUUCGGUCUUGUGCAUUGCGUUGCAUACAUAAGACUUCCAAUAGCACUAGCAAACUCUAAUUGAGCUACUGCUCUUCCAUCAUUCUUGAUUAACUUGAUACUUGGAUCAAAAGGAGUACUUACUUCUUUAAAUUUUAAGUGACUGAAUUUUUUUCAGCACUUUCUCAAUGUAAUGAGAUUGACUCAAUAGAUAUCCCCCACUAUUUCUUUUUACCUUGAUACCAAGGAUUGUAUCCACUUGUCUAAGAUCUUCGUUUCUGUAACUCUAUCUAUGUGAUUGCUUACAAUCAAUAUGUCAUCAACAUACAAACAAAUUAACAUGACAUAAUUAUCACAAGUUCUGAUAUAAACACAUUUAUCAGCUACAUUAUGUUUAAAACCAUAUGAUAAAACAGUUUUAUCAAGUUUCUCAUGCCAUUGUUUAGGUGCUUGUUUUAAACCAUAUAAAGACUUGACUAAUUUACAAACUUUAUGUUCAUUUCCUGGUAGGACAAACCCUUCUGGUUGUUCCAUAUAGACCUCCUCAUCGAGAUCUCCAUUAAGAAAUGUCGUUUUGACAUCCAUUUGAUGAACAUAUAAGUUAUAAAUUGAAGCUAAUGCAAACAUUAUUCGGACUGAAGUUAUUCUUGCUACUGGUGCAUAUGUGUCAAAAUAGUAAAUACCUUGUUUUGUCGAAAACCUUUGGCCACAAACCUAGCCUUAUAGGUGUGCAAAGUACCAUCGGUAUGAUACUUUCUACGAAACACCCACUUACAACCAAUAGAUUUAGAAUCAGAAGGCAAAUCAACAAGCUCCCAAGUGUGGUUUCAUAUUAUAGAAUCCAUUUCAUCUCUAAUAGCAUCCUUCCAAAAAACUGCGUCUCUAGAAGCUACAGCCUCUUUAAAUAUCGUUGGGUCAUCUUCCACUUGAAGAACUGUAGGGAUCGUUCUCACAACUUCAUCUCUAUUACCUUCUAUAAGGUAAAAAAAAAUAUGUUGAGAGUCGAUCUCAUUCGGUCCCAAAGAUUUUGCUUUUCUUACCCUUUUACUUUUCCUUUGUUCAUUUGAUUGUUGACCAAUCAUUUGUGAACUAGGUUGCUCAACAAUCUCUUGUGAUGGUUCUCCUAAUGCUUCACCAUAGGUGGGUUUUGAAAUCUAUUACCUUUAGUUAAUUAGUGUUCGAAGAAUUCAACAUCUAUGGAUUCAAUAAUGACAUUUGACUCUAAAUUUAAGAGCCGAUAUGUUUUACUAUGCGAUGCAUAGCCUACAAAAGCACAUUUGAUCCCUCUAGGCCCCAACUUGGUCCUUUUUGGAUCAUUGUUUUUACAAUAUGCAAGACACCCCCACACUUUAAAAUAUCCAAUGUUGGAUUUUCGUCCCUUCCAUAACUCAUAUGGAGACAUAUGAUUUCUUUUAAUAGGAAUCAUAUUCGUACAUGACAAGCAGAAAGUAAAGCUUCACCCCCACAAAUUAAAAGAUAAUUCAGCAUGCAAUAACAUAGCAUUAACCAUUUUCAAAUAAGUUCUAUUACGUCUUUCGGCUAAUCCAUUUUGUUCUGGUGUUCGUGGAGCAGUACAUUCAUGAAUUAUGACAUUUCCUUUACAAAAUGCAUUAAAUUAUUAGGAAAGUAUUAACCUCCUCUAUCACUUCUAAGUAUUUUAAUUUUCUUUCCUAAAUGAUUCUCAACUUCUGCUUUAUAGUUCUUAACCACACUAAAUGCCUUAUUUUUAUUUUUUAACAAGUAUACAUAAGUAUAUCUAGAACUAUCAUCAAUAAAUGUUAUAAAAUACGUAUUUCCACUUAUAGUUAACAUGCCAUUUAAUUCACAAAUAUCAGAAUGUACUAAUUCUAAUAAACUAGUGUUUCUUUCAACACUUUUAAAUUGCUUCUUUAUCAUCUUGGAUUUAACACAUAACUCACAUUUCUUAAAGUCAUUUACAUUAUAAGAUAUCAAACCAUUCUUUUCAUAGUACUUAAACCUACAUGUACAAGUCUAUUAUGCCAUAAAGAAAUUGAGUCAACCAUAUAAACAGAAUCAUUAUUCUUAUUAUUAAUAGAAUCAUUAUAUACAAUUGAGAGUUUGACCAUUCCAUCACUAGAAUAGCCUUUUUCAACAAAAUUACCAUUUAGGGACAAGAUUAACUUUCCCGAUUCGAAUAUAGAUUUAAUACUCGGUUUGCUCAAAAGAUCCCCACUAACAAGAUUUCUAUUCAUAUCUGGAACAUGGAGAACAUUGGUGAGAGUCACUUUCUUGCCUGAAGUGAAGAAAAGUUCCACAUUUCCUUUGCCUAUCACUUUAGACCUCUUCUCAUUUCCCAUUUGAAUUUCUUGCCCAUCAUCAAUAUGCUUAUAGGUCUUAAAAAGAAAUUUAUCAUAACACACGUGGAUUGUUGCACAUGUGUCAUACCACCAACCAGUUACUUUUCCUUGAAUAGCAUUGAUUUCACUCACAGUAGCAACAAUAUCAUCACUUUCCUUCAAGGAAUUAAUCUCUGCUUUUUGGGUCUUCUUAAAUCUGCAUUCUCUUGCAUAGUGUUCUGGUUUGCCACACACAAAGCAUCCUCCAUUCCUAGAUUUCUUGAAUUUUCCUUGAUCCUUUUUAGGACCUAAAAAAUUCCCUUUGCCAUUUUUUCUUUUAUAAGAAUUGUUGGAGGGCUUAUUCAUAAUAUUUGCCUUAUUAUUGCCAUCAUAAGAAUUUUCAUUCUCAUAUCUCACCCUCGUCUCCUCUUCGAUUCGAAGAUGUUUUUGAAUGUCUUCCAAAGUGUACUCCUUGAAAUCAUGAAGAAUUUUUUUUCGAUAACCUUUCCAAGAUGGAGGCAAUUUCGCCACUAUUGCUCCUACUUGAAAUGGUUCAGGAAGUUCAAUCUCCGCUGCUCUCAGUUGAUUCACAAUGACUUGCAACUCGUGUACUUGCACUAAAAUAGGCAAGUUAUCAACAAAUUUCAUUUCAAAAUAUUUUGUUAUCAGAAAUUUUUUCGUUCCUUCUUCUUUGGCCUUAUAAUUAAAUUCUAAAGCCUUCCAAAUUUUUGCGGCAAAAGGCUCCACUGUGUAGAGAUCAUAUAAGCGAUCCAUAAGUGAAUUAAGAAUAUGUCCACGACACAUGACUUCAUCUUCCUGUCUUUUUUGUCUUUGUGCUUUCAAUUCGGUUGAAUCAUCAUUUUGUGGUGGAGGAAUGGGAGGAAGGUUUGGGUCAAGAACAUAGAUGAUUUUCAAGGCGGUAAGCAUAAAAAUUAAUUUGUCCUUCCAUCUUGUGAAGUUGGUUCCAUCAAAACGAUCAAGACGAACAAAAUCUUAGUUCAUGAGUUUGAUGGUGUUUGAAGAUUCCAUGGUAUUUUGAAUGGUGUUUUAAAUAGCAAGAAAAAAUUUAUUGCUUUUAGAUUGUUAGGAAAAUAUGGAAAUUAAUAAAAGAACCAAGAACACAAAUAAAUUUGAAGUAGAAAAAUGGCUUGAAAGGCGUAAAAUCGCUUUCCUAAAAGCAAUAUUUGCUCCUUCUCCUUUUUGAAAUUGCUAUAAGAUGAAUGAAAAUAGCCUUAGUGAAUAUGACAAGCCUUGAGAAGUUUUGCAUUUAGCAAAUAAUGAAAAAAACUUCAAAGUAGGAAUAUGAGAGAUAAGAAUUUGAUAAUUUUAGAGAGAGAAAUAAUAGUUUGAACAACAAAAAAAUUCAGCACUUUAACAAUAUGAAAAUUCAUAUAUUUAUUAUAGAAAAUAACUACCAAUAACUACUAAUAACUACCUACAACUUCUUUUUAAUAACUACCUCUUAAUAACUAUUUUUUAAAUAAUAAAUAUCAUUUUCUUAUUUGAAUAAUUUAUAACAUGUAUCACUCUGUGCAAUGUUGAUCUGCAAAUAAAUGAAAUUUGGAACUAAAGAAGGCAAGAUCAAAAGCAAUGAAGAAAAUUACUUAUAUAUGUGUAAAUGAAUAAAUAAAAAAAUCAUCCAAGAGUUAAAUUACCGAUACAGACAAUUAGUCCACCUCUCCAUCAUGUCCCCAAAUCCCAAUGUUAACUACAAAGGCCCUGCAUAAUCAUAAUUUGCCAAAAAAAGCUUUUACGUUGUAAAUUCAUCUUGGUUGAUAACUAAUCAUCUUAUGUAAUAAAGGCUAUGAAGCAUCAAUACGGAUACGACACAAAACAUGACAUGUGAUACGGCAUUUUCAGGAAAAGUAGGAUACCAAACGUUGGGGAUAUGUUGAUCAAUUUAUAUAAUAUAUAUAAAUCAAAGUAAACAACCGUAAAGUUUAAGUUCAAUAUACUAGCACCUAUCAUAACAUAACCAAAUGGUAGGAACACAUCAUUUGCUUUAUGAUUUCUAACUGUUACAGAACAAAAUGGCUGCAGAAAGUAAGAAGACUUGAACAAUAAUAUCAGCACAAUCCAGUAAAUAAUUUGUUUGAAUAUAUAAUUCCAUAUAUGUAUACUUUAUAUUUUCAUGUGCUUGGAUUAAAACAUGGUGGCGAACAUCCAUAUAGAGCUAAAAAGUCUAACUGUUUUACUGUUGCAAUCUAUACCACGAAAUUCUAAACUUUCCCUCUCAUUAUAUGCCUCAAUCUUGAUAUUUUGAGCAACCAUAUCAUAUCCAAUUUCUCCUCUCUUUUUUUGCCUAGUUUAAUCAACGUUUUAGCUUGUGGUCAUCCUAAAUCAGGAUAUCAAUAUCCUUUUUCCAUUGUCUCUUAAUAACACGAGUUUUGGAAUCAAGGACUCACCCACUGAUAUGGUGCACAUCCUCCCAGAUCUGUGGUAACUUUGGCAAAUUUACGAGAGAGAAAAUGAAAUGGAUGGGCUAAGAAACAGUGUACUGAGAAUGGUUUAGGGAAAAUUCAAAAGGAACGAAAUUUGUACCUUCAAUUGGGUAAUAAUGGAAGAGGCUGAAGGAGAAGGAGAGAACAACCCACCUUCAAAGAUAAAACCACCCCAUCAUCGCAACAGCUACGAUCUCCGAUCCCAAUUGCCAGAUCCGCUCCAAAACAGUUCAACUCUCCAACCUCCAGCCACUAUUUUCCAUCUCCAAUCUCUUCAGCAAACAUUAAGAAGAAGAAGAUAUCUAGAU
rnacentral:lncRNA from 1 species